rnacentral:rRNA from 1 species
UACGGAGGGUGCAAGCGUUAAUCGGAAUUACUGGGCGUAAAGCGUGCGCAGGCGGUUUGUUAAGUCUGUUGUGAAAUCCCCGAGCUCAACUUGGGAAUUGCAAUGGAUACUGGCAGGCUGGAGUAUGGUAGAGGAAGGUGGAAUUCCCGGUGUAGCAGUGAAAUGCGUAGAUAUGCGGAGGAACACCGAUGGCGAAGGCAGCCUCCUGGGAUAACACUGACGCUCAUGCACGAAAGCGUGGGGAGCAAACAGG